rnacentral:snoRNA from 1 species
UUUCUAUGAUGAUCAACUUCAGUUCUGCUUCCGAACGAGAGCAAUCAACCUCUUGUGGACACCUUCAUACCAAAAAACUUUUUUCUGAAUU